ACAACCAGCUGAUGAGCUGAGAUUUGUCUAACACAUAUCCAACGUUAGCGGUAACUCAUCUUAAUUUCAGCCAUACACUUGUACGCCGGUGCCGGUGACCAUCCAAUGUCAACACUAACACCGGGCAAUUUAUCUCCCUUUUCUCCGAAAUCCUCCCCAAAUCAUGUCAAAUUUAGGAGGAAUUAUAAGGUUUGCUCAAAUGGGUUCCCUUCAUUUCUUCCCAAAGAAGUCGAGAAUAUCAAAGAUUCAUUUGCCCGGAAUUUGGCUCAGAGAAUUGAGAGGCUCCCCGUUCAGUUGACAUCUUCGGGGACUUCUGUCAUGAGUAGUUGUGUAAGGCCUAUGAUGCAACGAAAGGAGGCUGAUCCUAUUUUUCUCCUGCAUGGAUUUGAUAGUUCUUGUUUAGAAUGGCGAUACACAUACCCAUUGCUUGAGGAGGCUGGCUUGGAGAGCUGGGCCUUUGAUGUCCUUGGUUGGGGGUUUUCUGAUUUAGAAAGGCUUCCACAGUGUGAUGUAGCAUCCAAGCGCGAACAUUUGUACCAGUUCUGGAAAUCCUACAUUAAAAGACCAAUGAUACUUGUUGGACCAAGUCUUGGGGCUGCUGUUGCAAUUGAUUUUGCAGUUAACCAUCCAGAAACAGUCAGCAAACUGAUUUUGAUUGAUGCAAGUGUAUACACAGAAGGUACAGGCGACAUGGCCAAACUGCCCCGUCUAUUUGCUUAUGCUGGUGUUGCUUUACUGAAAAGUGUUCCCCUACGACUCUAUGUAAAUCGUAUAGCCUUCAAUGACGUAUCCUUCAGUACCAGUUUGGACUGGAUGAAUAUCGGUCGUUUGCAUUGCCUUUUUCCUUGGUGGGAGGAUGCAACUGUUGCUUUCAUGAGAAGUGGAGGUUAUAUAGUUGUUCCCCUAAUAAAGCAGGGAAAAUAGGGGUAGACCAAUGGCUCAAAUCUGGCUUAAGCUGAAUAGAGUUAAACACAAGUUGAAGACAUUACAUAAGGAGGAGUUUUCUCACACUGUGGAGAAAAUUGAGUAUUACAGAAGUGAGUUAGACAAUUUGCAGACUCAGAUGAGGAGUGAUAGUAGUCCUCACUUGCUCAUUGCUGAAAAAGAGCUCAUUUGCAAUCUCAGAAAGUGGAUGGCUAUUGAAGAACAAGCUCUUAAGCAGAAGUCUAGGGUUCAGUGGGUUAAGGUGGGAGAUUCUAACCACCAGUUCUUCUGCAAUGAAAGAGAGAGAUAUUGUAUUAAUAAAGUGCAUCUGCUACAUGGAGAUGGGGGAAUGGAGAUCACUGAGCCUGUUGAGAUUCUGUCCAUGAUCAUUGACUUCUACAAACAGCACCUGGGUUCAGCUCUUCUCUGCCUGGCUUGGAUGUGCCCACUAUCAGAAAUGGAAAUGGCUUAUCUUCUGAAGCUAGAUCUUUGCUAUGCUUGCCUGUUACUGUAGAUGAGAUUGAUGAUGCACUGGCUAGCAUUGACUCCUCCAAAGCCCCAGGUAAAGCAGCAGACGCUUAUAAUAUGGGGUGAGGAUGACCAGAUAAUCAGCUACAAGCUAGGAUUGGAAUUGCACGGGGAGCUGGAAGAUGCAAAAUUCCGUCAAAUACCAGAUUGUGGGCACAUCCCGCAUGUAGAAAAACCAAGUUUAGUUGCUGACUUGAUUAUCAAAUUUGCUCAACAGAAGUGUAGUAAAUUGUCAAGAGUAUGAUUUUAUAUGGUCAUGAUUCUGAA